rnacentral:rRNA from 1 species
GACGAACGCUGGCGGCGUGCUUAACACAUGCAAGUCGAACGGACUACUUUGCUUCGGUAAGGUGGUUAGUGGCGAACGGGUGAGUAACGCGUAGACAACCUACCUCUUAGAUGGGGACAACAUCGCGAAAGCGGUGCUAAUACCGAAUGAAGUGACUUUCCUGCAUGGGAGAGAUACUAAAGUGGGCCUCUAUUUAUAAGCUACCACUGAGAGAUGGUUCUGCGUCUGAUUAGCUAGUUGGCGGGGUAACGGCCCACCAAGGCGACGAUCAGUAGCCGGUCUGAGAGGAUGAACGGCCACAUUGGGACUGAGACACGGCCCAAACUCCUACGGGAGGCAGCAGUGGGGAAUCUUCCCCAAUGGACGAAAGUCUGACGGAGCAACGCCGCGUGAGUGAAGAAGGUUUUCGGAUCGUAAGGCUCUGUUGUUUGAGACGAAUGUGCCUGUUUCGAAUAGGGAUAGGUAAUGACGGUAUUAAACGAGAAAGCCACGGCUAACUACGUGCCAGCAGCCGCGGUAA